rnacentral:tRNA from 1 species
GCCCUCGUCGUUUAACGGAUAGGACGGUAGAUUGCGGAUCUGCUAAUUGAGGUUCGAUUCCUCACGAGGGCACCA